UUGCUCCCUUCGGCAGCAUGUAUACUAAAAUUGGAAUGAUACAGAGAAGAUUAGCAUGGCCCCUGCGCAAGGAUGUAAUACAGCUUAAGGUCAGGGAUAGUGAUUCC
ensembl:snRNA Gm23623 U6 spliceosomal RNA